CCAUGCCGCGUGUCUGAAGAAGGGCCUUCGGGGUUGUAAAGGACUUUUGUCAGGGAGCAAAACUUACUGGUUAAUACCCGGUGAGGCUGAGAGUACCUGAAGAAUAAGCACCGGCUAACUACGUGCCAGCAGCCGCGGUAAUACGUAGGGUGCAAGCGUUAAUCGGAAUUACUGGGCGUAAAGCGUGCGCAGGCGGACUUUUAAGCCAGAUGUGAAAGCCCCGAGCUUAACUUGGGAAUUGCGUUUGGAACUGGGAGUCUAGAGUCUGUCAGAGGGGGAUGGAAUUCCACGUGUAGCAGUGAAAUGCGUAGAGAUGUGGAGGAACACCGAUGGCGAAGGCAGUCCCCUGGGAUAAGACUGACGCUCAUGCACGAAAGCGUGGGGAGCAAACAGGAUUAGAUACCCUGGUAGUCCACGCCCUAAACGAUGUCUACUAGUUGUUGGGGUAGCAAUACCUCAGUGACGCAGCUAACGCGUGAAGUAGACCGCCUGGGGAGUACGGUCGCAAGAUUAAAACUCAAAGGAAUUGACGGGGG
rnacentral:rRNA from 1 species